rnacentral:rRNA from 1 species
AAACCGUUCGGGGGUAAACGGACAGAGCCCGUGAAUCCGGGCGCGCGGAAUUCAGGACCGAUCGGCGGACGUUCGCGUCUCGUCGGUCGACUCGAUAUUUCCGUCGCCGACCCUCAACCGAGGGUGUCGGACGUCGCGACCCGUUCGCCAUUUUGUCGAUGCUCAGGGACGCGUCGCCAGUUCGCCAGCGCCGUCGCCUCGGCGGCGGCGCGACGAUGGCGCGUUUCCGUUGUUUUCGACGCGGACGGUAGCUUUGCGCGCGGGUAUUCGACGCGGCCCACUCGUUCGGCGUCACUUCGGUGGCGUCGGGCGGGCGCUCGCGUCGACGCCGGUCAGCGACGAAUCUUCGGGCCUCUUUCCGA